GUCUAUAUUUGGGUACACAAUUUUUUUUUUUUUUGGAGAAACUGGUACUUGUAAAAUUUCCUAAACCAACCGGUAAAGUAAUCUACCGGACGAUCGGAACAUGGAGUGGGAGAGUGAUGAGAGAGAGCUAAAGGCUGUCGGAGCUAAGCCUCUACCGGACGGACGGAGUGGACUCCGUAUACACGGCUGGGAGAUUGAGUCUAGAAAGCAUUCCAUUCUCACUUCUCUUCAGCUUCAACAGUAUUCUUUUACUCCUUUUAUAUGUACAAUUCAAUUAAG
rnacentral:misc_RNA from 1 species